rnacentral:lncRNA from 1 species
AUUAAAUACUGUAUCUGGUCUCUCAUAGGCUACCAGGUUCAUUCCUUUAAUUUCCUUUGAUCUUUGUGCUUUAAAUGUCUUGAAUAGGUGCGGGCUAUGCAUCUACUGAGUAAUUUCCCGUGCCUCUUGCACUGCCUUUGCUCGCAUCUGUUAUUGCUCGUGUCUCUUAACUAACUUUGUUUCUUUGACUAUUUGACCGAUCCACGUGUCAUGACACGUCAUCUCCAAUAUAUAAACUCGAUUUUUCCUAAUACAAUUGGAAACUUCUCCAUAUCCUCAAAGUGCUCAAUAUCAACAAUUGUAUCCGGUCUCUCAUAGGCUACCAGGUUCAUUUCCUUUGAUCAUUGUGCUUUAAAUAUCUUGAAUAAUUGCGGGCUAUGCAUCUCCUGAGUAAUCGCCCGUGCCUCUUCCACUAUAUUUGCCCGCAUAUGUUAUUGCUCGUGUCUCUUAGAUAACUUUGUUUCUCUGACUAUUUGACUGAUCCACGUGCCAUGACACAUCAUCUCCAAUAUGUAAACUCGAUUUUUCCCAAUACAGAUAGUCUCCCACUUUUCAUUUAUUUAUCAAUUAAAUAUUUGGGAAGUGGAUUGCAUUAAAAAGAG